UUAAGCGACUAAGCGUACACGGUGGAUGCCCUGGCAGUCAGAGGCGAUGAAGGACGUGCUAAUCUGCGAAAAGCGUCGGUAAGGUGAUAUGAACCGUUAUAACCGGCGAUGUCCGAAUGGGGAAACCCAGUGCAAUUCGUUGCACUAUCGUUAACUGAAUACAUAGGUUAACGAGGCGAACCGGGGGAACUGAAACAUCUAAGUACCCCGAGGAAAAGAAAUCAACCGAGAUUCCCCCAGUAGCGGCGAGCGAACGGGGAGCAGCCCAGAGUCUGAAUCAGCUUGUGUGUUAGUGGAACGGUCUGGAAAGUCCGACGGUACAGGGUGAUAGUCCCGUACACCAAAAUGCACAGGCUGUGAACUCGAAGAGUAGGGCGGGACACGUGGUAUCCUGUCUGAAUAUGGGGGGACCAUCCUCCAAGGCUAAAUACUCCUGACUGACCGAUAGUGAACCAGUACCGUGAGGGAAAGGCGAAAAGAACCCCGGCGAGGGGAGUGAAAAAGAACCUGAAACCGUGUACGUACAAGCAGUGGGAGCACCUUCGGGUGUGACUGCGUACCUUUUGUAUAAUGGGUCAGCGACUUAUAUUCUGUAGCAAGGUUAACCGUAUAGGGGAGCCGCAGGGAAACCGAGUCUUAACUGGGCGUUAAGUUGCAGGGUAUAGACCCGAAACCCGGUGAUCUAGCCAUGGGCAGGUUGAAGGUUGGGUAACACUAACUGGAGGACCGAACCGACUAAUGUUGAAAAAUUAGCGGAUGACUUGUGGCUGGGGGUGAAAGGCCAAUCAAACCGGGAGAUAGCUGGUUCUCCCCGAAAGCUAUUUAGGUAGCGCCUCGUGAAUUCAUCUUCGGGGGUAGAGCACUGUUUCGGCUAGGGGGUCAUCCCGACUUACCAACCCGAUGCAAACUACGAAUACCGAAGAAUGUUAUCACGGGAGACACACGGCGGGUGCUAACGUCCGUCGUGAAGAGGGAAACAACCCAGACCGCCAGCUAAGGUCCCAAAGUCAUGGUUAAGUGGGAAACGAUGUGGGAAGGCACAGACAGCCAGGAUGUUGGCUUAGAAGCAGCCAUCAUUUAAAGAAAGCGUAAUAGCUCACUGGUCGAGUCGGCCUGCGCGGAAGAUGUAACGGGGCUAAACCAUGCACCGAAGCUGCGGCAGCGACACUAUGUGUUGUUGGGUAGGGGAGCGUUCUGUAAGCCUGCGAAGGUGACCUGUGAGGGUUGCUGGAGGUAUCAGAAGUGCGAAUGCUGACAUAAGUAACGAUAAAGCGGGUGAAAAGCCCGCUCGCCGGAAGACCAAGGGUUCCUGUCCAACGUUAAUCGGGGCAGGGUGAGUCGACCCCUAAGGCGAGGCCGAAAGGCGUAGUCGAUGGGAAACAGGUUAAUAUUCCUGUACUUGGUGUUACUGCGAAGGGGGGACGGAGAAGGCUAUGUUAGCCGGGCGACGGUUGUCCCGGUUUAAGCAUGUAGGCUGGUUAUCCAGGCAAAUCCGGAUAAUCAAGGCUGAGGUGUGAUGACGAGGCACUACGGUGCUGAAGUAACAAAUGCCCUGCUUCCAGGAAAAGCCUCUAAGCAUCAGGUAACAUUAAAUCGUACCCCAAACCGACACAGGUGGUCAGGUAGAGAAUACCAAGGCGCUUGAGAGAACUCGGGUGAAGGAACUAGGCAAAAUGGUGCCGUAACUUCGGGAGAAGGCACGCUGGUGUGUAGGUGAAGUCCCUGCGGAUGGAGCUGAGACCAGUCGAAGAUACCAGCUGGCUGCAACUGUUUAUUAAAAACACAGCACUGUGCAAACACGAAAGUGGACGUAUACGGUGUGACGCCUGCCCGGUGCCGGAAGGUUAAUUGAUGGGGUUAUCCGUAAGGAGAAGCUCUUGAUCGAAGCCCCGGUAAACGGCGGCCGUAACUAUAACGGUCCUAAGGUAGCGAAAUUCCUUGUCGGGUAAGUUCCGACCUGCACGAAUGGCGUAAUGAUGGCCAGGCUGUCUCCACCCGAGACUCAGUGAAAUUGAACUCGCUGUGAAGAUGCAGUGUACCCGCGGCAAGACGGAAAGACCCCGUGAACCUUUACUAUAGCUUGACACUGAACAUUGAGCCUUGAUGUGUAGGAUAGGUGGGAGGCUUUGAAGCGUGGACGCCAGUCUGCGUGGAGCCAACCUUGAAAUACCACCCUUUAAUGUUUGAUGUUCUAACGUUGGCCCCUGACCGGGGUUGCGGACAGUGUCUGGUGGGUAGUUUGACUGGGGCGGUCUCCUCCCAAAGCGUAACGGAGGAGCACGAAGGUUAGCUAAUCCUGGUCGGACAUCAGGAGGUUAGUGCAAUGGCAUAAGCUGGCUUGACUGCGAGCGUGACGGCGCGAGCAGGUGCGAAAGCAGGUCAUAGUGAUCCGGUGGUUCUGAAUGGAAGGGCCAUCGCUCAACGGAUAAAAGGUACUCCGGGGAUAACAGGCUGAUACCGCCCAAGAGUUCAUAUCGACGGCGGUGUUUGGCACCUCGAUGUCGGCUCAUCACAUCCUGGGGCUGAAGUAGGUCCCAAGGGUAUGGCUGUUCGCCAUUUAAAGUGGUACGCGAGCUGGGUUUAGAACGUCGUGAGACAGUUCGGUCCCUAUCUGCCGUGGGCGCUGGAGAAUUGAGGGGGGCUGCUCCUAGUACGAGAGGACCGGAGUGGACGCAUCACUGGUGUUCGGGUUGUCAUGCCAAUGGCACUGCCCGGUAGCUAAAUGCGGAAGAGAUAAGUGCUGAAAGCAUCUAAGCACGAAACUUGCCCCGAGAUGAGUUCUCCCUGAGACUUUAAGUCUCCUGAAGGAACGUUGAAGACGAUGACGUUGAUAGGCCGGGUGUGUAAGCGCAGCGAUGCGUUGAGCUAACCGGUACUAAUGAACCGUGAGGCUUAACCUU
rnacentral:rRNA from 1 species